rnacentral:lncRNA from 1 species
AGGAAGCUGAGUCUGUUUAGUACACAGCUGAUCAGAGUCGGCUGGGUUGAAGCCGCAGGACCAACUUCUAAGGGAGGGAAGGGCAGGAGUGCAGAGCCCGGAGUCCACAUCCGAGACCCCUAAGUCAAAGACAUUUCAACUACCCUCAACUCACCCUCAACUACUGGAAAAAUGCUGGCCACGCAUCUGGCUUCGUCAUCCCCUUGGAGUUCCUUCUGAUCUCCCUGCCUUUGGCAGCCUGGCUCCAGUGGAAUGUGCCCGCUGUGGUACCUACCAAGUUCAAGGAGAGGUCCUGGCGGUCCACCAAGACGCGCUGCUUUAGGCCCGGGAGGGUGGCAGAGGAAAGGAGGAAUGGACUGUGGACCACCUGCAACCCUCCAGCCU